rnacentral:tRNA from 1 species
GCGGAUGUACCCAAGGGGAUCAAGGCAGUGAAUUGUAAUC